UCUUAUGAUGACAAAAGGCCAUUGGCCUGACCUAAUCCCAGCUCUUCGAAUGCCUCACUUAAUAACGCUAGAGUGCAUUGUGAGAUGAAUUUUACUCUGACAGA
rnacentral:snoRNA from 1 species